rnacentral:rRNA from 1 species
UACAGAGGGUGCGAGCGUUAAUCGGAAUUACUGGGCGUAAAGCGCACGUAGGUGGCGACGUAAGUCGGGUGUGAAAGCCCCGGGCUCAACCUGGGAAUUGCAUUCGAGACUGCAUUGCUGGAGUACGGAAGAGGAAGGCGGAAUUCCCGGUGUAGCGGUGAAAUGCGUAGAUAUCGGGAGGAGCAUCAGUGGCGAAGGCGGCCUUCUGGUCCAGUACUGACACUCAAGUGCGAAAGCGUGGGGAGCAAACAGG